AUCUUCCCUGUUCUUCAACUUGCCUGGAGCUUCAGCGAUGGGCAAAGAUGUGUGGAAGAUAAACAGCUUUCCAGCACAGUCUGCAGCCUGAGAGACACAGACCAGUCUUCAGAUCACUCUUACACAAAACAUUUAUCUUUGGGAAGGAUCCAGUGUUCUGGGAUUUAACUGCUUAUGCAUUGAUGACUACAGAAGCUGGAAGCUGCUAGAUAACAUCUGAUAAUAUGCGGCCGUGUGUGUGGGCUUUUGCAGGAGUGACGACAAGGCUGCGCGAUGCUGGAGAAAGCACAGCAGGAAAGAUGGCUACCGCUAGUGAACAGCGCGCGCUUGACUCCGCUUUGGAAUCAGUUUUAGAAGAAUUAGACUUGGAGUUUUCGUUGAAACAUGAGCAGGAAGAGGCUCUCCGCUCAUUCCUUUUCAAGAAGGACGUUUUCUCUGUUUUGCCGACCGGCUAUGGCAAAAGUCUGAUCUACCAGCUGGCUCCGCUGGUAGC